AACUUUCAACAACGGAUCUCUUGGUUCUGGCAUCGAUGAAGAACGCAGCGAAAUGCGAUAAGUAAUGUGAAUUGCAGAAUUCAGUGAAUCAUCGAAUCUUUGAACGCACAUUGCGCCCCUUGGUAUUCCGAGGGGCAUGCCUGUUCGAGCGUCAUUUA
rnacentral:rRNA from 1 species